UGCCAGCAGCCGCGGUAAUACGGAGGGUGCAAGCAUUAAUCGGAUUUACUGGGCGUAAAGAAUGCGUAGGCUGUUUCGUAAGUCAGAUGUGAAAUUCCGGAGCUUAACUCCGGCACUGCAUUUGAAACUGCGAGACUAGAGGAUAGACGGAGAAAGUAGAAUUCCAUAUGUAGCGGUGAAAUGCGUAGAUAUAUGGAGGAAUACCGGUGGCGAAGGCGACUUUCUAGUUUAUUCCUGACGCUGAGGUAUGAAAGCUAGGGGAGCAAACAGGAUUAGAUA
rnacentral:rRNA from 1 species